CACGUAGGUGGCGAGCGUUGUCCGGAUUUAUUGGGCGUAAAGCGAGCGCAGGUGGUUUAUUAAGUCUGGUGUAAAAGGCAGUGGCUCAACCAUUGUAUGCAUUGGAAACUGGUAGACUUGAGUGCAGGAGAGGAGAGUGGAAUUCCAUGUGUAGCGGUGAAAUGCGUAGAUAUAUGGAGGAACACCGGUGGCGAAAGCGGCUCUCUGGCCUGUAACUGACACUGAGGCUCGAAAGCGUGGGGAGCAAACAGG
rnacentral:rRNA from 1 species